AAAUAACAAUACAGGGCAAUUGUCUUGUAAUUGGAAUGAUGGUGACCUAAACCCUCACCAGAGUAACAAUUGGAGGGCAAGUCUGGUGCCAGCAGCCGCGGUAAUUCCAGCUCCAAUAGCGUAUAUUAAACUUGUUGCAGUUAAAAAGCUCGUAGUUGAAUUUCUGCGUUAUCGAGUUAUUGACUCUUGUCUUUAAUCGAUUUCGCUUUUGGGAUUUAUCCCUUUUUACUUUGAGAAAAUUAGAGUGUUUCAAGCAGACUUUUGUCUUGAAUACUUCAGCAUGGAAUAAUAGAGUAGGACUUUGGUUCUAUUUUGUUGGUUUUUGAACCUUAGUAAUGGUUAAUAGGAACGGUUGGGGGCAUUCGUAUUUA
rnacentral:rRNA from 1 species